AUUGAACGCUGGCGGCAUGCCUUACACAUGCAAGUCGAACGGUAACAGGUCUUCGGAUGCUGACGAGUGGCGAACGGGUGAGUAAUACAUCGGAACGUGCCCAGACGUGGGGGAUAACGAGGCGAAAGCUUUGCUAAUACCGCAUACGAUCUAAGGAUGAAAGCGGGGACCCAAAGGCCUUGGCGGUUUGGGGGGGCGAUGGCAGAUUAGGGAGGUGGUGGGAUAAAAGCUUACCAAGCCGACGAUCUGUAGCUGGUCUGAGAGGACGACCAGCCACACUGGGACUGAGACACGGCCCAGACUCCUACGGGAGGCAGCAGUGGGGAAUUUUGGACAAUGGGCGAAAGCCUGAUCCAGCAAUGCCGCGUGCAGGAUGAAGGCCUUCGGGUUGUAAACUGCUUUUGUACGGAACGAAAAGGCUCUGGCUAAUACCUGGGGCACAUGACGGUACCGUAAGAAUAAGCACCGGCUAACUACGUG
rnacentral:rRNA from 1 species